UGAAAAUUAAAAUGGCUUUGAAAGCAUUUGCGCCAGCAUCGAGCCGUUCUGUAGUGCCUCUGCAACCAGAUACCUCACUUCAUUAGCUAUAAGCAGACAGAGCUGUAGCUCGAAAUGAUAGAGGAACGCCGUACAAAGAAUAAACGUGUACAUUAAGAACUGCCGGCAACGUUAUUGGUGAUGCACUUCGUGCAGAUCGAGGCUGACAGGCCACACUACAUGAAACUGCAAGCUCAGAACUUUGUGAACGUUACGCAUAAACAACUAAUCAUGAGAUCCAGACACAGCCAGCAUCUCCACUACCUCUCCAGAGAAAUGCCCAGCUCCCCCAGAAGCUCGAGAUCUCUUUGGAUGAGAGUACAGAGGCCUUAGAGGGUGCAUCGGCAAGGCUGCCACCUGACCAGAUAUUGACACCUCAAUGGGAAUAUUGUGCAUUGAGUGUGUGACACCACAGUCUGGUGAGCACCUCACAGUGACAGCCGUGCAGCUGGCUAAGGAAGAAGCUCUCCAGGCUGCUGGCGCUUGGACGGCAGCAAGAGACCAGGCACCUGCUCAGCCCCAGGCAGGAAAGGACCCUGUGAGGUCAGCAAUCAGAGACUUCAUCUACGUACACAGUGGGGAUCAGGAGCAGCAGACAGGAAUGUGUGAGAUAGUGGUCCUCAUUGCCCAGAAGCUGUAGCAAUGUAGUGAAUUACGUGACUGUCUGUCUGGGUCUAUGGACAGGUUAGCAGUGCCUGGAGAGCUAGACUCAGCACCCUCAGGGUCUGCUGGAGAGAAAGUCACAUAUCUGCACUCUGUUGCCCCAGCCACUGGUCCUUGGGGCUGAACAAAUGAUGACUGAGGUGUGGGAAACCUAAUGCAUGCUCCAGAUCACCUCCUCACAUCGAGACAGGAUGGUGCUUGGAGGCAGGCAGCUGGAGCAGUGAUUACACACAGGCCAUUCAGAAGACUCCUCUCAGGAUACUCCAGAGGUGGCCUUCACCUCUCCCUUGCCUGCUGCCCUCUGACCUUUGAAACUUCACGACAAGGGGGUCAACUUAUCCACUCAGAAUGUCUGACCCAUCAAGGCACAAGUGCCCCUGGGUUGGCUGGCCAAAGCUGCAGGAUCAAUGGGCUCUACUGCUGAGCAGGCACCCUCCAACACAGCUGCAGAACCAGGGAGUUCACCAAGAUGUAAUGGAAGGUAGAGGAGAUAGAAGACAAAUUGAAGGCACUUUGGUAAGAUGGGUGACCAUGGAUUGUAAUUAAUUUUGUACUUUCAUAUAAAGGCCAUCGUUUUAAGCAUUA